rnacentral:rRNA from 1 species
GAUGAACGCUGACAGAAUGCUUAACACAUGCAAGUCUACUUGAAUUUGGGUUUUUUAACUUCGAUUUGGGUGGCGGACGGGUGAGUAACGCGUAAAGAACUUGCCUCACAGCUAGGGACAACAUUUGGAAACGAAUGCUAAUACCUGAUAUUAUGAUUAUAGGGCAUCCUAGAAUUAUGAAAGCUAUAUGCGCUGUGAGAGAGCUUUGCGUCCCAUUAGCUAGUUGGAGAGGUAACGGCUCACCAAGGCGAUGAUGGGUAGCCGGCCUGAGAGGGUGAACGGCCACAAGGGGACUGAGACACGGCCCUUACUCCUACGGGAGGCAGCAGUGGGGAAUAUUGGACAAUGGACCGAGAGUCUGAUCCAGCAAUUCUGUGUGCACGAUGACGUUUUUCGGAAUGUAAAGUGCUUUCAGUUGGGAAGAAAAAAAUGACGGUACCAACAGAAGAAGUGACGGCUAAAUACGUGCCAGCAGCCGCGGUAAUACGUAUGUCACGAGCGUUAUCCGGAUUUAUUGGGCGUAAAGCGCGUCUAGGUGGUUAUGUAAGUCUGAUGUGAAAAUGCAGGGCUCAACUCUGUAUUGCGUUGGAAACUGUGUAACUAGAGUACUGGAGAGGUAAGCGGAACUACAAGUGUAGAGGUGAAAUUCGUAGAUAUUUGUAGGAAUGCCGAUGGGGAAGCCAGCUUACUGGACAGAUACUGACGCUGAAGCGCGAAAGCGUGGGGUAGCAAACAGG